CCUGAGAAACCCAAAAGAUCGAUCGGGGAGAUUCAUCGUCAGCGAUUCUGGCACGUGGGCGAUUCGCGAUGUUGCGGGACCUCGGUUCAGUGACACGCAUCCGCACAUGUUUAAAUUGCCAGGUGUCGUCGGCGUGCACUUCUCCCCUAGUAGAACGUCGCGACCCGUUGGGUGCCGGUCUACGGCCCGGAUGGUAGACUGUCGUGCGUCGCGCCUCGUGCCGACAUGCGGCAGACCACCGGUCGCCCGACCGGCUGCCCGGCGGUACUCGCACGGUAUCGAGCCGCAAAUAUUUGAACUGCGUCUGGCCCGCCGCAAGCGAGGUCAGUGAUUCCCGGAUGUGCGGACCUAGCGCCGUCACCGGGCCUGGCCCGCUGUUGGUCGGUGGUGUCCUUGGAGACUGGCUCAUGCAAUUAUGAUACCGGUCGGCGACGCUACUGCUUUGGU
rnacentral:rRNA from 1 species